UCAGCAAAAGCAGUUGUACCUCAUGGUCAAGCCUCAACUAAAGAGGAGAAUGGUUCUCUCAAUGUCGACAAGGCAGCAGAACAGAUACUUCCUCCAAAAGCGGUUAAUUCUACAUCUGUCGCUUCUGAGGGUAGGAAUGAUAGUCCCGAGGCUGAUGUCCCCGAGCCUACAUUUUCUGUAUGGAAAUCACCUUCACGUAACAGAACAUUGGCACAUGAGAGUACUUCUGGUGCUGGGGGUUUAGGGGAUGGGACUGCAAAGAGUGAGAGAUCAGCAGAUAUGUUCUGUGAUGAUAUUUUCGGAGAGAGACCUGCUGGAGUUCGUAAAACUG